AGAAAGAGCAGUGCUGGACAGAGAGCUUAGCCCUGCAAGACCUCUCCCGUGAUCACAUCUAGGGAGUGUAAGCUGGAUUUGUUGGGGAAAAGAGCAGGCACCCCUACCACAGCCUCCUGGACUGGAGAGGCCCAACCUGCCCAACCUCAGCUCAACCUGGAGUGCCGGCCACACUGGACACGUCCAGUCCUGUUGCAUAACUUCUUGCCCCUCCCCCAUAGUACGUGUCUGUAUGUCUGAGAGCCAGCUAAGCACCCAUCCUCCCCAGAAGGGAAGUCUGAGGAUUGAUAACCUCAACCUGAACCCGAACCUGCCCCAGCCUUUCUCCACUUCAGCCUGCCAGCAGCUUCCAGCUUUGGCUUCACUCAUUUUAUUCAUAGCCUCAUUCCAGCAACCCCUGGGCACCCCAGGAGAUGGCCCCUCACCACCCCUGUUAUGGGAUUCUGCUUCAAUCACACAAUUAAUCAACAGGAAACCCAAAUCCAGACCCAAUGGAGAAAAUAAAGGGAAAGGAGAUCAACUAUUCCAAAGGCCAGAUCAGCUCAAUGCAAUGAAGGAAGGAGGAGGAUGCAGGCUACACCAGAAUCCUGGGUUCUCAGCUGGACCACACACAACAGAUUGGAGGCAAGAAGAGUGGCAGAGGUGUUGUUAAUUUCCUGCCUCAUCAAGCAUGGCUCACGAAUACGGCAGCUUAAAUCCCCAGCAGCAGUAGGAGCUGGCAACAGGCAACCUGCUGUAAGGGAUAAAGAUGGCAAGGUCUGAGCACCAGGGACUUGGAUGGACAGAGGUCAAAGAGGUUUCCCGGGCAGCUGAAAGACUUCCAUCCACUUUGGAUUUGAUCAUCUCACCUUGUAUUUGUCCGUGAUCCCAAACACUAAUCCUGCAAUCUACUGUGUCAUAAGAGAUUGUCAUCACUGGAGCCCUGAGCCAGCAGGUAAGAAGUCUGAUAGAAGCUUGCCAUGCUGUGAGGAAGCCAAGUCACACAGGGAGGCUGCAAGAAGGUGCUUGAGUUGGCAGUAGCAGUCUUCAAGUCCUCCUUUCCAAGUGCCAAAUAUAUGAGUGAACAAGUUCUCAGAUGACUGUAGCCCCCAGCUACUGAGUCAACCCCAGACAUGGGGGAGGGGAAGUGCAAGCAAGCCAUCCCCAUUGUUCCCCUUCUGAAUUCCUGCCCCAAAGCAUACAAACAAACAUAUUGCAUUGCACUUCUGUGUUUGAGGGAAUGUUUAUUAUGUAGCAAUGGUAACCUGAACAAUAUGGAAAAAUGGGUAUUAUUUCUUAGGUGUCAAAACAAGUGUCUAACUUUCCUCCACAAGAGUCAAUACCCAUCAACAGCUUUUAUCUCUGACAAAUCUCUCAAAUGUAAACAAACAAA
ensembl:lncRNA